rnacentral:rRNA from 1 species
GUAGGGGGCAAGCGUUGUCCGGAAUUAUUGGGCGUAAAGAGUACGUAGGCGGUUUGUUAAGCGCAAGGUGAAAGGCAUAGGCUCAACCAAUGUGAGCCUUGCGAACUGGCAGACUUGAGUGCAGGAGAGGAAAGCGGAAUUCCUAGUGUAGCGGUGAAAUGCGUAGAUAUUAGGAGGAACACCGGUGGCGAAGGCGGCUUUCUGGACUGAAACUGACGCUGAGGUACGAAAGCGUGGGGAGCAAA